UAUAGGUGAAAGAUAUAUUCCAUUUCUUUUGAAAAAUACAUUUAAUGUACUUAAGUCACACUAGACUUUAAUGAAUGCUUACAUUUAACAGAGAAUUAAGUUUCUUUGCUGAAUGAGGGCCUAAAUGAAAUCGUUUUAAAAAAUAAAAAAUAAGAGUUUUCUAGUCUUGUAGAUUUUUCAUCUCUAAUUAAGAUAUUGGGGAAAUUGUAAGUUUUUUAUUUUUUUAAGGAGAAAUAGACAAAAUUCAUAACAAGAAAUUGUUACUUAUUUCUGAUUUCUCCUUCCAGGUUUUUAAAAAGUAAGCCCCACAAACUUUGAAAACAGAAAGGAUAAAAACAAUCCAGAAGAGUGCAUAAGGAGUACAAGCAAGGAAAUUACUAGAAACAGCUGACCUUAAACCAGUCUUUCAGAAUGACAGGCUGCCAAAGUUAAAGGAGCAGAUGGACAAGAAAAGAAUAUCAAAGAAAGGACAGAAAAAGUACUCAGCCUUUGUUUUAAGUACUUUUAGACAUUUCUCCUGCCGUUGUGUUAUUGACUUAAAGAAUAAUGACUUCCUUCGCUUCCUAAUUUCUAUAAAUUAUGUUUUUUUUACAGGUAGGACAAUGUCAGCUUCACCAUGCAGAGUGUUUACAGUUGGGAAUGUUUGCAAGGAGAAAAGAUAACUUUAUCAGAUUACUUUUCACAGGGUUUUUUCUGCAGAUCUCCUAGGCACUAUAAGGUUCACUGUUGAAAGAUUUGGGGUGAAAUCAUGGCCAAUGGGAAUUCUGCCAUCAACUUCAAAAGAUAAUUGUCAUGAGAAUAGCUUCAAAACACUCAGAAGCUGAGAAACAGAAAAAUACAGUGCUGAAGAAGGAAAGCCAAAUAGCAGGUAAAUGUAUCAUGAAACACAAGCUUAUUCAGUAAAACUACAUUUUUGAGAAGAGUUUGGCAAGA